ACAUAAUGCUCAUAAAAAGAACAUGAAGAAUGUUUGUUCUCUUACAGUCGUGAUCAGGUUUUUGAACUUCAGUUUUAUAGAAUGGUCCAGAUAGAAUCGAGCCUACUGUCUCUACGCAAGUUAGUGUCAGAGACAAGGAAACGCACCACAAGUCCACAGACUUCGGCCACAAACCUCGACCUGGGCACCUGCGAGAAGCUUUGAUUGUUGUUGUUUCCCUCUUCCUAUCCCCCCUCCCCUUCUCUAUGAAAAAAAGAGAAAUAAAAAGAGAAAGAUAGAUAGAAGAAAGGUGUCACCUUCACACAUAUCUCGAGUUUACAUGAUGAUCCAGGAUUGAGUAAAAUAGGAGUCUGGUAGAAGAUGAGACAAUAUGAACAAGGAUUUUAUUGUCUGCUUUGGGAAUUCAGAAAGAGAAACUCAGUUGUUUACCUAUUUCUUAAGGGAACUAUAUUUUCAGUGAAUUACAAUUUUUAAAGGCUUUGUUGAGUUCUGUAAUUUGGAUAUCUCUCCAACAUUGGUCUAUUUUAUUAAUGUAUUUUUGGUCACCUUUAAAUGAAUGUAGAUCAUAAUUUCAUGGAAACAUAGAGCAAUCCUCACUUACAUCAUGGCAUGUAAAGGCCAAUGAUUUAAAGGGAAAUUCUUCUCAUGUAGUA